rnacentral:lncRNA from 8 species
AUGGAGCGUAGAAAAGUCCUCACUCAGAUCCUAUGUGUGUUCUUUCUUACAACUGGACGAAAUGAAGGAAAGCUUGAUGCGAAGUCGUGUUCAGGAUGGCCUGCAUUGAAAUUAGACCAGGCAUGUCUGACGUUCCAUAACCAGCUACCAACCGGAGUAGAUGUCCUCUACACGUCUGAUUACUGCUACAAGUGUCUGUACCAGCCCCUGGUCAGUGUUCUAAAUGGUCCCCAGAAUGCAUCUGUCGUGGUCAGCACCGUCUUCACUCUGACACUGCAGUUACAACCAAUGGGCAGAAACACAACUCUCUGCAGUUGGAAUCAGUUGUAUGAAGAAGCUGGCCAUUACUCUGUCUGGAUCCAAGAGUCAGAAUCUCCCAUCAAUGUCAUUUGCUAUCAGACUGUGGAUGUCAGUCCAAGAAACAUCUAUUUCCCUCUGUUGGUGGCAGCUCUUCUACUGGCACUUAUUGCUCUCCUAUCUGUCGUUGCUCCCUACCUGUACAGGUACUGUAUUUAAAAUCAUUUUACAGUGGACUUUCUAAAUACUGUACGCUUUGAUCUGAAGCCAAACUGACGUGCUGUGACAGUUGAAGCUCCUUGUUUUCUGUUUACAGGAGGCGUUGUACGACAAAGCUUAUCAAGACCAUUU